rnacentral:piRNA from 1 species
UGACAGUCCUCAACUCCACUGGAGAG